UGGCGAACGGGUGAGUAACGCGUGAGGAACCUGCCUCAAAGAGGGGGACAACAGUUGGAAACGACUGCUAAUACCGCAUAAGCCCACGGGCCGGCAUCGACCUGAGGGAAAAGGAGCAAUCCGCUUUGAGAUGGCCUCGCGUCCGAUUAGCUAGUUGGUGAGGUAACGGCCCACCAAGGCGACGAUCGGUAGCCGGACUGAGAGGUUGAACGGCCACAUUGGGACUGAGACACGGCCCAG
rnacentral:rRNA from 1 species